rnacentral:rRNA from 1 species
UACGUAGGGGGCAAGCGUUGUCCGGAAUUAUUGGGCGUAAAGAGCGUGUAGGCGGCCAGGUAGGUCUGCUGUGAAAACUCGAGGCUCAACCUCGAGACGUCGGCGGAAACCAUCUGGCUAGAGUCCGGAAGAGGAGAGUGGAAUUCCUGGUGUAGCGGUGAAAUGCGCAGAUAUCAGGAAGAACACCCGUGGCGAAGGCGGCUCUCUGGGACGGUACUGACGCUGAGGCGCGAAAGCUGGGGGAGCGAACGGG